ACAAAUUCCAAAACUCGUGUUUGACUUGUGGUCAUGUCAGUUGCUGCAGAGUGUCCCCACGUGGGCCAUUCGAGCACUGACGCGAAGUGACCGCAAGUCUAUCCAUACACACAAACAACAUUCACAUUCAAUUUUGACAACCAAGAGUAACCAAUACUUAAAAUGUUUAAUCGAAA
rnacentral:misc_RNA from 1 species